rnacentral:rRNA from 1 species
UGCCGCCGCCGCGGUAAGACGGAGGGUGCAAACGUUGUUCGGAAUCACUGGGCACAAAGCGAACGUAGGCGGCGCACUAAGUCAUGUGUGAAAGCCCCCGGCUCAACCGGGGAACUGCACCUGAUACUGGUGUGCUCGAGGAUGGUUGGGGUGAGUGGAACUCCUGGUGGAGCGGUGAAAUGCGUAGAUAUCAGGAGGAACACCGGUGGCGAAAGCGACUCACUGGGCCGUCUCUGACGCUAAGGUGCGAAAGCUAGGGUAGCGAACGGGAUUAGAUA